ACUGAUCGUAGCUCAGUGGUAGGGCACAUGCCUUGAAUGCAAAAGGUUGCAGGUUCCAUCCCUGGGGCCUCCAGUU